UCCUCUGCUACUUGCUCAGAGAGAAGAACCUUAGGAAUGCCAUUCAGUGCCUCGGUUUCUGAGCUGUCUCACUUGGGGAAAUCCAACCAUCAUAGCUCACGGUCACCACUGCAGGAAUCCGGAUGCAGGCCAAGUACAGCAGCACGAGGGACAUGCUGGACGCUGAUGGGGACACCACGAUGAGCCUGCAUUCUCGAGCCUCUACUGCAACCCAGCGGCCAGAGCCUGGCCACACAGAGCACCGGCGACCCUCUUCAGCUUGGCGUCCAGUGGCCCUGAUCCUGCUGACUCUGUGUUUGGUGCUGCUCAUUAGCCUGGCAGCUCUGGGGCUUGUGUUUUUUCAGUUCUACCAGCUCUCCAACACUCAGCAAGAAAACAUUUCUCAAAAGGAAGAAAGGCUGGGGAAUCUCUCCCGACAGCUGCAAUCUCUCCAAACUCAGAAAAGGAAGCUUGCAGAAACUCUGCAUCACGUGGCUGAAAAACUCUGUCGUGAGCUUUAUAACAAAACUGGAGAACACAGAUGCAGCCCUUGCCCAGAAAAAUGGAAGUGGCAUGGGGACAAAUGCUACCAAUUCUAUAAAGAAAGCAAGAGUUGGCAGGGUUGUGAAUAUUUCUGCAUUGCUGAGAACUCGACCAUGCUGAAGAUAAAUACACAGGAAGUACUGGAGUUUGCCAUGCCUCAGAGCUACUCUGAGUUUUUCUACUCUUAUUGGACAGGGCUAUCCCGCAACGGCAAUGGCAAGGCCUGGCUGUGGAUGGACGGAGCCCCUUACUCCCAUGAACUGUUUGAGAUUGUAGUAGAUUUCACCAGCCUAAGAAGUAGGGACUGUGUGGCCAUCCUCAAUGGAAAGGCUUUCUCCAAGGACUGCAAGGAGUUGAGGCGAUGCGCGUGUGAAAGAGCUGCGGCCACAGUGAAGCUGCAGAGACUCCACGAGCCUCUCUGAGCCGGACACGGAGGCCAGUGGUUCUCCAGCUCCAGCUGCAACUGCAGCCUCCCUUCAGAGAAGUGGAAGAUUCUGCUCUGCAGAACAAAAGUCAAGCUCUUUAUGUGCGCCUGGCCUAGUGUGGUUUCCGUUCCUUUUCCUUCCAUUUCAUCCCUGUUCAUACCUUCCAGGCAGCAGAGAGCAUCCUGUCUUCCUUCCAAUUUGAAAAUCCAUAUCUCUAUCCUCCCAUCCUACUGGUCCAAUAACAUAAUGCCUGGAAACCCAGCAAAUGCACAGAAAGAUCUGGCAAACAGUGAGUUUAAAAGAUCACAUUUAUUCAUUUAUUAAAAAGAGUAUCAGUCAGCUAAAACUGCAUCAUCUCCCCAGUGACUUAUAGAUUUUUCUGUGGAGUUCACAGUCACUCUAAAUUAAAGAGAGAGAGAGAGAGAGAGAGGAAGAAAAAAAAUGACAAAUAGAAAUGUUUUUUCUUCAGCUUGUUUUCCACUCUUCAGGGUUUUGUCCUCUGUUGCUCUAAACCAAUUUUAUUCUUGGUAAUUAAUUUGAACAAUGUCAAAGGAACAUCUGGAAAAUGUUGAGGAAUAUUACCAAGUGUAAAUGCAAGAUAGGUUUUGUGUCUCAGGUAGCUGGUUUCACAACCCUUGCACUGGUUUACUUCUGCGCUGGCUCUUAAACUCAUUGUUACAGGUUUUCCAAUGAUCUGUUGCAGGUAUUACCGUAAUGGAGCAAUCACUUCAAGCAAAAUUUCUUUCAGGUGAAGAUCUUAAUGCGUAUUUCUCACAGAUGAAAUAUUUCCAAAUGCUGCAGUUAGCGGAAGAAAGGCCGUUGUUUCUGAGGUAUCCACAGACCUGGUUAGUUGAUUGGGGGUCCCUGUAUUGGUGACCUGGAGAGGCAAGUCAGUGUAUCUGAGGUUAGGUGUUGGGCUUAUGGGAAUGUCCUCUGGGCAAUAAAAUGAGAGAUGUACAGCUUUUCCUUUUGUUUUAAUCUGUCACCCUCUUGAGGUAGUUUUGCCCUUCUUCUUCAAUAACAGAACUAU